rnacentral:rRNA from 1 species
CUGCUGCCCGGUUCCGCCCCGGUGGCCGUCCGUCCGUAUCGCUACCCGGCCGCGCACAAGGACGAGCUGGAGCGUCAGUGCGCCGCCAUGCUCGCCCAGGGCAUCAUCCGAGCGAGUUGUUCCGCAUUCUCGUCCUCAGUACUGCUGGUCCGCAAGGCCGACGGGUCCUGGCGCUUCUGCAUCGACUACCGCGCCCUAAACGCCAUUACUGUCAAGAAUGCGUUUCCGAUCCCGGUGGUGGACGAACUCCUCGACGAGCUCCGGCACGCUCGUUUCUUCACCAAGCUCGACUUGCGCUCCGGCUACCACCAGGUGCGGAUGCGUGCGGAGGACAUCCCGAAGACCGCCUUCCGUACUCAUGAUGGCCUCUACGAGUUCCUGGUGAUGCCGUUCGGCCUCUGCAACGCGCCGGCAACGUUCCAGGCCCUCAUGAACGAUCUGCUGCGGCCGUACCUGCGCCGUUUUGUUCUCGUCUUCUUUGACGACAUCCUCAUUUUCAGCGAGACAUGGGCUGACCAUCUCCGACAUGUGCGCACCGUCUUCACCGUCCUGCACCAGCACCGACUCUUCGUCAAGCGAUCCAAAUGC